CCGGCUAGAGCUAAUUGGGCGUGAAUUUAGUAUGAAUAGGUCGCCAUCUGGCGUGAAAAGUUUGUAAUCCAACUUUAAACUCGAUUUACUUCACGACAUUGCUCCAAGGAAUAUGUAGAAAUUUUUAUAAAAUGUUAAUUAAUUGGAAAUGGACUACAAACCUUGAACGAGAGACGCGACCUUUGGUGUGAGAGAAUAAAGAUAAACGUGUAAUUUGCCUACGAAAAAGUGUACGUACGAUUGUGAUUACGAGUGUCAUCAAUCGCGAGAAAGUAUGUAUAUACUCGCGACCUUUUACAUCGUCACUUGUUAAUUCACAACGUCCUUGUAAUAAAUUAGGACGAAACUCACGGCCAGCUUACUAUAUACUUGCCUACGUGCCCGGUGAACAUCGCUAGAUCUAUCGAUGGAAAAUAAACGGGAAACAAAACGAAAGCGAAGAUAUGUAAAUCUUUCAGUAUCCUCCACAAAGAUUCUGGAUGAGAAAUAGUCGGCGCGUGGUAAGAGACUGGUAUUACUGGAAGACAAAGAAGCUAAGGAAAGAGGAAUAGCGGAAGAUAUAUAUAUAUAUAAGAUUCGCAGCUAAAUCGUCGAUGCUGUUACGUACGAAGAGCAUCGUUCACCGAGCUGGCAAAUGGACAACAUCUGCAAUGGACAGAUACGUGUUGUGAUACGUGUUGAAUACGUGUUGAAUACAUGUUGUGUCUUUAGUACUUAGGAGUGAGAUAGAGAUAGAGAGAAAGAUUUCAGGGAGGAAUUAACUGAAAUCAAGAGUAGGUGGGAGGUCGAAUAGCGUCCUCUCAUUAUGGCCGCCCCUUGGUCCCGGGAUCGUUCGACGAUCCUUGUACGUGUGUCGUCUCUUGUUCACGCUAAAGAUGGGUGUAUAACAAUCGUAUACAGUAUACCUCCAAAUUUAGAUUCGAGGGUGACUUACUGGUGGGUUUUUCGAGCACUCUUUUGCGAACCUGUGCUAGACAUACCUCGUGGGGCACCUUUAAACAAAACGAUCAUUCGUUAUUGGGCUCGGUUCGAGUCGAUCGGAUUCACUAGGAUCGAUAUAGGGUCGCUAAGAUCAUCGCUUUUAUGACGAAGGAGGCGUAAGUCUUUGAUUGGUUAUCGAUUUUCGUUGCUCGUUACUGGUCGCUGUCGAGCUGUUAUUUACAACCGUCUGUUGAUAAAUAUCGAUCG